rnacentral:rRNA from 1 species
CCUACGGGUGGCAGCAGUGGGGAAUAUUGGGCAAUGGGCGCAAGCCUGACCCAGCAACGCCGCGUGAAGGAAGAAGGCUUUCGGGUUGUAAACUUCUUUUCUCAGGGACGAAGCAAGUGACGGUACCUGAGGACUAAGCCACGGCUAACUACGUGCCAGCAGCCGCGGUAAUACGUAGGUGGCAAGCGUUAUCCGGAUUUACUGGGUGUAAAGGGCGUGUAGGCGGGAAAGCAAGUCAGAUGUGAAAACCAUGGGCUCAACCUGUGGCCUGCAUUUGAAACUGUUUUUCUUGAUUACUGGAGAGGCAGACGUAAUUCCUAGUGUAGCGGUGAAAUGCGUAGAUAUUAGGAGGAACACCAGUGGCGAAGGCGGUCUGCUGGACAGCAACUGACGCUGAGGCGCGAAAGCGUGGGGAGCAAACAGGAUUAGAUACCCCAGUAGUC